rnacentral:rRNA from 1 species
UACGGGGGGAGCAAACGUUGUUCGGAAUCACUGGGCGUAAAGCGCACGUAGGCGGAUGUGCCAGUCAGGGGUGAAAUCCCGGAGCUCAACUUCGGAACUGCCUCUGAUACAGCACGUCUUGAGUCCGGAAGAGGUGGGUGGAAUUCCUAGUGUAGAGGUGAAAUUCGUAGAUAUUAGGAAGAACACCGGUGGCGAAGGCGGCCCACUGGUCCGGUACUGACGCUGAGGUGCGAAAGCGUGGGGAGCAAACAGG